UCUUCCCUUCAUCCGUUCUUCCUGUUCUUCCCUUCAUCCGUUCUUCCCAUUAUUCUCGUUCAAAAACUCAAGAUCGUUCCCGUUCAAGAAGUAGCCGUCCCUCGCAUUUCCGCCAUCCGCCGUCCACUGUAUACCAGCCUAAACUGCCGUUCGAAAAGAAGAAGACCGAAAACUUCAAGUUUCUUCACCAAAAAUGUCAGUCCUUUGGCCGACGUCUAUACCAGAAUACUCAAUACUCCUUAGAGUAGAUGAUGCGGCUAUGUUCUUGGCCUAAGUUUACAAGCUCAUCACCACUACUCAAGAAAAGAGACAUGCUGAUGUAGCCCGAAUUAGAUAAAAAUACCCCGACAGAAUUUCGGUCUUGUACCAGAUCGAUCUACUGUAGUGAUGAAGCUACCAAAAAAGUGAUUGAUGUUUGGUUAGUGAGAAGACUUGUUGUAAUUUCGUUAUUCAUGACAAUCUCUUGUUGUAUUUAGUUUCUUUAUAAAAAUAUAUUACCAAGAUUUAGUUUCUAUUUUGAUUAUAUUUGUCCCUUUAGGAAAAUUCGAUAGAUUUCGUGUACUUAGUUUCUUUGUAAAAACAUCAUCUAUGUUAUUGUUAUAUAUGAAAGUUCUAAUAUUUGCAAAGUUUUAGAAA